CUGAAGGUACCUCGUCAAAUUUCAUACCAUUAUAAGAAUUACUAUCAAAACCUCUAAAGAAAUCAUCGAUAGGAAUUUACAAGAAUCAACAUCGAGAAUAAUAUCACUUGAAUAAUUGAUAACAAACAUCGGAUAAAGAGCAAAUCAUCAUUGAUGAUUUCCUUACGAACAAUUUCUGGAACCAAUCAUCGGCAAAGAAGUCGCUGAUAAUUUGCAUCGCCAUUAUGAAUUGAAAUCAUCUAGAAGAGAAGAAGUUUUCCGAAGAAUACAAUACUUACAUAAACAUAUUUCAAUGUAACAAAUGGAAAACAAAUCAUCAUAUACAACCGGAUUAUAAACAAUACCAUCAAUCAGUUAUUGCAAAUGAAAUCAUUGACGAUUUCAUUCAAAGAAUUAUCAUUACGACUUUGCAAGGAUCAUCAUCAUUUAGACGGAAGAAAAUCA